rnacentral:rRNA from 1 species
UACGAAGGGGGCUAGCGUUGUUCGGAAUCACUGGGCGUAAAGGGCGCGUAGGCGGCUUUGUAAGUCGGGGGUGAAAGCCUGUGGCUCAACCACAGAAUUGCCUUCGAUACUGCAUGGCUUGAGACCGGAAGAGGUUAGUGGAACUGCGAGUGUAGAGGUGAAAUUCGUAGAUAUUCGCAAGAACACCAGUGGCGAAGGCGGCUGACUAGUCCGGUUCUGACGCUGAGGCGCGAAAGCGUGGGGAGCAAACAGG